AUUCCAGCUCCAAUAGCGUAUACUAAAGUUGUUGCAGUUAAAAAGCUCGUAGUUGGAUUUCUGUUAUUAAAAAUCGGUCGUGUCCUCACGGAUUCUGUACCAGGUUUCUUAAUUGCAUCUUCAAGGUUCUGGUAUCUGGUAUUAAUUUAUCGGGUAUUCGGUCCUUGUCAUUUACUGUGAGCAAAAUAGAGUGUUCAAAGCAGGCUUAGGCCAUGAAUACAUUAGCAUGGAAUAAUAAGAUAGGACCUUGGUCUAUUUUGUUGGUUUACAUUCCAAGGUAAUGAUUAAUAGGGAUAGUUGGGGGUAUUUGUAUUCAAUUGUCAGAGGUGAAAUUCUUGGAUUUAUGGAAGACAAACUACUGCGAAAGCAUUUACCAAGGAUGUUUUCAUCA
rnacentral:rRNA from 1 species